GAUGAAGAACGCAGCGAAAUGCGAUAAGUAAUGUGAAUUGCAGAAUUCAGUGAAUCAUCGAAUCUUUGAACGCACAUUGCGCCCGCCAGUAUUCUGGCGGGCAUGCCUGUUCGAGCGUCAUUACAACCCUCAGGCCCCCGGGCCUGGCGUUGGGGAUCGGCGGAAGCCCCCUGCGGGCACAACGCCGUCCCCCAAAUACAGUGGCGGUCCCGCCGCAGCUUCCAUUGCGUAGUAGCUAACACCUCGCAACUGGAGAGCGGCGCGGCCACGCCGUAAAACACCCAACUUCUGAAUGUUGACCUCGAAUCAGGUAGGAAUACCCGCUGAACUUAAGCAUAUCAAUAAGCGGAGGAA
rnacentral:misc_RNA from 1 species